AAUUAGUAUGCAAUGAACUUAAAAUUCAUUUAUAAAGAAUAAUCUUUUUUUAGA
rnacentral:tRNA from 1 species